rnacentral:rRNA from 1 species
UACGUAGGGGGCAAGCGUUGUCCGGAAUCAUUGGGCGUAAAGCGCGUGUAGGCGGCCCGGUAAGUCCGCUGUGAAAGUCGGGGGCUCAACCCUCGAAUGCCGGUGGAUACUGUCGGGCUAGAGUGCGGGAGAGGCGAGUGGAAUUCCUGGUGUAGCGGUGAAAUGCGCAGAUAUCAGGAGGAACACCAAUUGCGAAGGCAGCUCGCUGGAACGUAACUGACGCUGAGACGCGAAAGCGUGGGAAGCAAACAGG